rnacentral:rRNA from 1 species
GUGGGGAAUCUUCCGCAAUGGACGAAAGUCUGACGGAGCAACGCCGCGUGAGUGAUGAAGGUCUUCGGAUUGUAAAGCUCUGUUAAUCGGGACGAAAGAGCCUAGUGUGAAUAAUGCUAGGAAGUGACGGUACCGGAAUAGAAAGCCACGGCUAACUACGUGCCAGCAGCCGCGGUAAUACGGAGGUGGCAAGCGUUGUCCGGAAUUAUUGGGCGUAAAGCGCGCGCAGGCGGAUCUGCCAGUCUGUCUUAAAAGUUCGGGGCUUAACCCCGUGAUGAGAUGGAAACUGCAGAUCUAGAGUAUCGGAGAGGAAAGUGGAAUUCCUAGUGUAGCGGUGAAAUGCGUAGAUAUUAGGAAGAACACCAGUGGCGAAGGCGACUUUCUGGACGAAAACUGACGCUGAGGCGCGAAAGCCAGGGGAGCGAACGGGAUUAGAAACCCCGGUAGUCC